AAACCACUUCUGAUCACUUUGUGUAUUCUUUUUUAAUAUUUUGUUGUGUCUUGCUUGGUGGGAAUUGAUCGAGUUAAGUGGCUGACUGGGAAUAUUAUGCUGUCAAGUUCGUGUCUUAGUGCGUCUGAGAAUGUUGUUUCUUUCUUUCUUCCUUUUGUUGCAAACCUGAAAAGAAAGUGCAAUGUGAACCUAGAAGGUGCAUGUACUGCUGUUACUUUCAUGUGCCAACUACUAUACUAGUUGGUUUGUGAUGAUCCAAACAAGUCGACAACAGUAGUACUAUUGGCAGUUGGUGUUUAAUUUCAUUGCUGCCAUGGUAUUUAUUCUUUCGGCAUGUCAUGUAUAUGCUUGGUUCCAUGAUGGGUGCACUUUCUAACACGCGCAGGUGCAAGACAGAGACACGCCACCAUGCAAUCAUUCUUCUUCCACUUGCAGGCCUCCCACUCCAGUAACUCCUUUUCUGCUCCAGCAUAGCAUAGCUGGUAAGCAACCGCUCCUCUCUUUUGCUCUCUCUUGCUCUAUUAUCUUGCUCUGCGUGUGUCCACGACCAUACACCCAUUCUGCUAAGUUAUGUUCUGGCCAUGGUGAUUUCUGCCUAGUGCUAAUGAUGCUUUGGACUUGUAGUUUAGUGAUGCCAAGUGUUGCAUCAAUAAUAUUUGAUCAAAACCACCCAAUUAAGUUGAACAAUCGAAGAGAGCCUGCUGCUAACAGACAUGUUUCCUUUCCUAAUAAAGAUUGGAUUGUUGUCCUGGCUCUGAAACAUGCAACUUUUUUACCUUUCUAUAAGUCUUGAUCAAAUCCAGCUUGUAUCUACUUGUAGAUGUAGACUGUUCUAUAUUUUUUGUCGAUUAAAAACCUGCUUGCAUGUUGUUGGAUAUCAACCAUGGUUGAACCUAAAAAUGGCUGAUUUGAUAUCUUUUCUUUUUUCUGCACUAUACUAGUCGUCGUCGCCGCUGCCAUAGUUCGGUUCGAGUCGUCUCCGGCGCUGCUAAAGAUCACCGUUGACACUAUAAUCCACAGGUAUCUCUCUCAGUUCCCUUUAUACCCUCCUACCUUUGUGAUGUUAGUAUGCUUGUGCUGACUAGUUUUGUUAGAUCUUGCCGGUUGAAUGGAUGGUCGUGUUAGUAGAAUGGUAUUUUUUUAGGUGCAAUGUGUUGCAGUGAAGUUUUUUGCAUGACUUGCACUUGAGCCGUGCAUAUUCAUAUUCUGUAUCUGUUUUCUUGUAUGUAUGGGUAUCUCAUUUUAACUAGUUGGAGGACAAAAAGCAUGGCACUAGCUCAAUUUGUGUUAUCAUUCUAAAUAAAUGUCAUUUUCUUGAAUGGUCUGUUCAUAAUAUAUUUGCCCCAAUUUUUCUUAUUCUUCUCUCAUUCAUGUAACAGGGUGACAGAGGAAGCCAUGUUGCAGUUUUGUUUGUUGCCAGCCCUGACUUCGGUCGUCCAGCGAGUCUGGCAUGUUGUUCAUCUGACUACGGUCAUCCAGCGAGUCUGUCAUGUUGUUCAUCUGACUACGGUCGUCCAACGAGUCUGGCAUGUUGUCAUUUCUUGUAAAGCAGUACUGUAUUACACUUGUAGAACUCAUUACACUUGUAGAGCUUGAAAGUACUGUAUUAGACAUGGUCAUGUAUUGGCACGUAUAGAGCUUGUUAUUGUGAUUGCCAUUGUAUUAUGUGAUCUGGUUGCUCUUAUUUGAAGUAUCAUGUGUGCUUUUUGUCUGGCAAUUUAAAUACUGGUUGAAAUAUGAAGA
rnacentral:lncRNA from 1 species